ACAAGCGGUGGAGCAUGUGGUUUAAUUCGACGCAACGCGAAGAACCUUACCUGGAUUUGACAUCCUCUGACAGUUCCGAAACGGAAUUUUUCCGACUUGUCGGAACAGAGUGACAGGUGCUGCAUGGCUGUCGUCAGCUCGUGUCGUGAGAUGUUGGGUUAAGUCCCGCAACGAGCGCAGCCCCUGUCUUUAGUUGCCAGUAUUCAGUUAGGCACUCUAAAGAUACUGCCUCGGUUAACGGGGAGGAAGGUGGGGACGACGUCAAGUCCUCAUGGCCUUUAUAUCCAGGGCUACACACGUGCUACAAUGGGUCGUACAAAGGGUCGCCACUCCGCGAGGAGGAGCUAAUCCCAAAAAGCGGCUCUCAGUUCGGAUCGGAGUCUGCAACUCGACUCCGUGAAGUUGGAAUCGCUAGUAAUCGUGGAUCAGCAUGCCACGGUGAAUACGUUCCCGGGCCUU
rnacentral:rRNA from 1 species